UACGGAGGGUGCAAGCGUUAUCCGGAUUUACUGGGUUUAAAGGGUGCGUAGGUGGAUUGGGUAGUCAGUGGUGAAAUACUUUCGCUUAACGAAGGAACUGCCAUUGAUACUCUCAAUCUUGAAUACAGUGGAGGCAGGCGGAAUGUGUCAUGUAGCGGUGAAAUGCUUAGAUAUGACACAGAACACCUAUUGCGAAGGCAGCUUGCUACACUGUGAUUGACACUGAGGCACGAAAGCGUGGGGAUCAAACAGG
rnacentral:rRNA from 1 species